UACGUAGGGGGCGAGCGUUGUCCGAAUUUACUGGGCGUAAAGCGCACGUAGGCGGCAUGGUAAGUUGCAUGUAAAAGGCGGCAGCUCAACUGCCGAGUGUGGUGCAAGACUGCCAGGCUUGAGGCAAGUAAAAGAAUGUGGAACUCCGAGUGUAGCGGUGGAAUGCGUAGAGAUUCGGAAGAACACCCAUGGCGAAGGCAGCAUUCUGGACUUGACCUGACGCUGAGGAGCGAAAGCCAGGGGAGCAAACGGG
rnacentral:rRNA from 1 species